CUAAGAUAUGGACAACAUCUUAAAGUACUGGUAAUGCCCAAUGUACCAAAUACCUUAUAUGUUUCCAAAUUAUACUGAAUAAAAUAUAAAUAUACAAAAAAAUUGUUCCCAACAUCCCGAAUCUCAAAAAAUAUAGCAAUACUCCUCCUACAAAACAUGCAGCACAAGAAAAGGUCGAAGCAAAAUGAGCUUAAAAUGUUACCAAGUUAUAGCAUACUGCACUAUACUAAUGCAUAUUAUUCUGAAGCCCAGUACGUAUCAUGUUUUGUGUCGAGAUGCAAUUAAGGAGGGAGAAAAGGGAGGACAGAAGAAGACGGAGAACUUGGUAGAAAGAUACGGAACCAACACGAACGAGUCGGGUUCUCGACGCCCACCUGAUCGCACAACAAGGAGUAGAAAGACAAUCGUGCUGAAACUGAACGUGCGCUGUAUCGUUUCGUUCCAACGAAAGUACAAACUUACUUUACCACCUUUGGUUCACGACGAAAUUGCAUUAUUGCAAAACCCAACGAAUAUCACAGCAUUUAGACGUGUAAUGUGUACACAUUGUAUACACAUGCAUUUCGUGUACGUAAGGUGGCAAGGUGUGCAAGUUUUAUCAGAAAUACAAUAGUCUCGCAUAGGCAGCGGCUUAAGUUACGAGAUAAGCACACAAGAAAUUACGAAGUCGUUCGAAAACAUUCAUGACCCCCACCGGAAUACUCACUCAUUCUUCUACGCAGGAGAAAAAAACGUGAUUGAGGAAACCGGAGAACGUUGUAACGAGAACUAAAAGUUGGAGGGGCUGCACUCCACUGCAUACAUCCAAGGCACCAGCUUCUUGCCUUGCAAGUAGAUAUGCAAACAAUAUAUCGAUAUACUGAAGGAUAUCGAUACACCUGUCCCGAGCCACUUGUCCGGACGCGUUUCGAACAUAUUUUACUCGAUGUUUGUCGCGCAUCGAUGCAUCGAUGUAAUAUUGUAUCGAUAUUCGAGCAAUUGGUUUUUUACAUUCUUUCUCGAGGUAAACGUUACUGAAAACUUUAAGUAAUAUUGCGUUCACUCACUCAUAUUACUCGGCAUGAUCCUGAAUUGAUGGGCGAUCCAUUUAAACGCACUAUUAUUUAUUCGUUGGUAACAUUCGCACAAUUUUUAAAACAACGAGUCCGCCAAUUUUUUUUUUUGUUAACAAAAUACCGCCUUGCACACCACUGUGCACACCGACAUGCACCGACGUGCACUGUCGUACUACGCAUGCGUGCUCGCGACAAGUGUAAGGAGCUGAGGCUCAUGGCGGAUUCUCAGUAAGAUAUCUAUUCUUGUUAUUAGAGUAAAGCAGAACGAACCGACGUGUAAUAAACCAAGACAGAACGGAAUUAGAAGGGAUAUUCUUACGCGCGCAAUAAGAGAAACACGAACGGCCGCAACAAAUUAUUAGACUAAGCACCUCUUCGCUGCAUGCCUAUCAUACGUAGGUAGAGCUUAUUUUUGAAAUGUAUUUCGAUAGAGACUGUUGAACUUUUAGAGAUGAUACGUUCAAGAUAUCCAGACGAAACGGGAUCGGUAUGAGUAAAACGAAGAAAAAUUCAACAAUGUAACAUUAAUAGACAUUACUUCGCGGCAUCGAAUAGUGCGCCAAACGAGAAAUAAAAUAUGCAU